GUCCCAAUUCUUCCAUACUGAGAUUGAUAGACAAAACAAAACAAAACAAAACAAAACAAAACAACAAACACAAUAGGACAAGACAAAAGCUCUCAUAUUGCAGUUGGAUAAUAAAGCAGGAAAAGAGUACCAAUAGUACUAAAAAGUACAAAAAAUAUCAAAGUCGUCAAGGACACACCUGCUUCCACUGUGAGGAGUCCCUCCCAAAACACCAAGCUAACAGACACACAUAUAUACACAGAGGACUUGAUCCUGAACCAUGCUAGCUCUGUGCUUGCCACUUCAGUCUCUGUGACUCCAUAUGUUUCUUCCUGAGUUGAUCCAGUGGGCCAUUUUCUGCUGGUGUCCUCCAACCCCUCUGACUCCCACAUUCUUUCCUUCUUUUCCUCAGAAUUCCCUAAUCUUUGAGGGAGCUACUCAAAGGAGACCUCCAAUUUAGAGAAUAGAUAGAUAGAUAGAUAGAUAGAUAGAUAGAUAGAUAGAUAGAUAGAUAGAGAUAUAUGAUCCAGUCAUACAUUGUAUUCUGAACAUUCACUGAAGAACUUGGGAAAAACUCCCCACAGAUAAAGAGAAUGAUAGUAUAUCUUACUUUAAAUCUAAAACAGGAAUUAAUUGAAUAUUUCUUUGCCAGUUGGUAUAAAUGUUGUUUUAUGACCAACUGUAAGAUUUGAGGUGAUUUUAUUAUAAUUAUUAAUUUUUUAAUGUAGUUAGGAAUCACAUCCUUGGGGAAGGAGAGUUAUCUAUGCUGGAGUGAAAGCAGUACUCUGUGAGCCUUUAUCUGUACUCAAGCCAUGAGUUUAAUAAGGAAAGGCUAUGUGCUUGUCCUCUGCAGUUCUGAAUGCUGUCAUUUUCUUAGUGUUCCCUUUAUAGAAAGGAGCUGAUCUUAUGAGAAAAGACUGCAAGUGUUCAAUACUGCCCAUAUUCUCUUCUUGUUAGGCUCCUGUGACAUUCUUGGUUGAAUAUUUAUCUGUGACUAAUAGAGACUUCUUUCCUAGACUCCAAUUGACUCAUUUCAUUUUGAAAUGGCAUGGUAUUGGCAUAUCCAUUACCACCUCUGGAACUGCUUCUGAAGCUGGAAAUAAUAGUCCACUGCUUUCUUUGUGUUAGAUGCACCUGUGUGGAAAAGCCAUUAAAAUAAGCAAAGACUUAACUUGCUAGUUUUUCAUACUCAUGCA
rnacentral:lncRNA from 1 species